AUUGUUUUUUGGCCUUUUGACUAAGAUCAAGUGUAGUGUCUGUUCUUAUCAGUUUAAUGUCUGAUAAAGUCUUCCUCUAUCUAUGAGCAAUAUAUUACAUGGAUUUUUGGAGGAGGGAGGCGGUAAAGCCGCAUGCUCCAUAGACUGCAUGCAUAGACCGAGUAUUGCAGCACCUCAAAGAAGAUUCAAUCAAC
ensembl:snRNA U2 U2 spliceosomal RNA